rnacentral:rRNA from 1 species
AUUGAACGCUGGCGGCAUGCUUUACACAUGCAAGUCGAACGGCAGCGAGGAGAAGCUUGCUUCUCUGUCGGCGAGUGGCGAACGGGUGAGUAUAGCAUCGGAACGUGCCAAGUAGUGGGGGAUAACCAAACGAAAGGUUGGCUAAUACCGCGUAAGCUCUAAGGAGGAAAGUAGGGGACCUAAAUAAGGCCGUACGCUAUGUGAUCGGCCAAUGUCGGAUUAGCUAGUUGGUGGGGUAAUGGCUCACCAAGGCAAUGAUCCGUAGCGGGUGUGAGAGGACGAUACGCCACACUGGGACUGAGACACGGACCAGACUCCUACGGGAGGCAGCAGUGGGGAAUUUUGGACAAUGGGGGAAACCCUGAUCCAGCCAUGCCGCGUGUAUGACGAAGGCCUUAGGGUUGUAAAGUACUUUUGUUAGGGAAGAAAAGCUAGUUUUUAAUACAAAUUAGUGAUGACGGUACCUAAAGAAUAAGCACCGGCUAACUACGUG